ACAUGGCUGUGAGGACAAUAUACACAGCUUUUAAUAUCAGUUCUGCUUCCGAAAAUUUAUGAAAGAUAGCUGAUAGUAAAAUGAGCCACUGU